CCCGCACGCGCCUGACCCUGUGGCGUCUCCAGGACGCUCUGGCCGCCGACCUGGAGAGGACGGACUCCGAGAACCGCGAGCGGCAGGAGCAGAUCCGGGGCCUCCGGGAGGAGAACGCGAGGCUGAGGCAGAGGCUGCGGGACGCUGAGGCCGAACUGGAGCGGCUCAGGUCGGAGACCCGCCCGCCCCGCAGACGGGAGAGGACCCCGACGACGACGGCAAAGGCCGAGGCCUCUACCCUGGGACCCGAGCGCAACGCGGAGCGCAGCGCGGCCCGCGGCCCGGCCGCCCCUGGCCUCCUGGUGACCGCAGGCCUUCUGCUCCUGAGCCUGGGCGCUCCGCGGUCCUGAGACCGCAGCGAGCAGCGGGUCACACCCUGCCCGCUGUGAUCCGGUUCCAUCAGCUUUUGCCUUCUGGGGUUCUCGGGGUGGCGGGACAGUCGGGGUGGGAGGGGAGGGGGGAAUUCUGCGGAGCAGGAAUGCAGC